UGUGCACCAGGGGGGUCCCUCAGCCUGGCCUGUGCCCUCUCGACAUCUGGGAACCCUCGAGGGAUGUAAGAGAGCCAGUUUCAGCCUGAUCCCGCAGGCCAGGCUGAGGGACCCCACUGGUGCACA
rnacentral:pre_miRNA from 1 species